UACGGGGGGGAGCAAGCGUUGUUCGGAUUUACUGGGCGUAAAGGGCGGGUAGGCGGCCACUGCAAGUCGGUUGUGAAAUCUCCGGGCUUAACUCGGAAAGGUCAAUCGAUACUGCAGGGCUAGAGUGCAGAAGGGGCAACUGGAAUUCUCGGUGUAGCGGUGAAAUGCGUAGAUAUCGAGAGGAACACCUGCGGCGAAGGCGGGUUGCUGGGGCUGACACUGACGCUGAACUGCGAAAGCUAGGGGAGCGAACGGG
rnacentral:rRNA from 1 species